rnacentral:rRNA from 1 species
CCUACGGGGAGGCAGUAGUGGGGAAUAUUGGACAAUGGGGGCAACCCUGAUCCAGCCAUGCCGCGUGUGUGAAGAAGGCCCUCGGGUUGUAAAGCACUUUCAGUGAGGAAGAACGCCUGGUGGUUAAUACCCAUCAGGAAAGACAUCACUCACAGAAGAAGCACCGGCUAACUCCGUGCCAGCAGCCGCGGUAAUACGGAGGGUGCGAGCGUUAAUCGGAAUUACUGGGCGUAAAGCGCGCGUAGGUGGCUUGAUAAGCCGGUUGUGAAAGCCCCGGGCUCAACCUGGGAACGGCAUCCGGAACUGUCAAGCUAGAGUGCAGGAGAGGAAGGUAGAAUUCCCGGUGUAGCGGUGAAAUGCGUAGAGAUCGGGAGGAAUACCAGUGGCGAAGGCGGCCUUCUGGACUGACACUGACACUGAGGUGCGAAAGCGUGGGUAGCAAACAGGAUUAGAUACCCUGGUAGUC